rnacentral:rRNA from 1 species
GCAGUAGAACGCUGAAGAGAGGAGCUUGCUCUUCUUGGAUGAGUUGCGAACGGGUGAGUAACGCGUAGGUAACCUGCCUUGUAGCGGGGGAUAACUAUUGGAAACGAUAGCUAAUACCGCAUAACAAUGGAUGACACAUGUCAUUUAUUUGAAAGGGGCAAUUGCUCCACUACAAGAUGGACCUGCGUUGUAUUAGCUAGUAGGUGAGGUAAUGGCUCACCUAGGCGACGAUACAUAGCCGACCUGAGAGGGUGAUCGGCCACACUGGGACUGAGACACGGCCCAGACUCCUACGGGAGGCAGCAGUAGGGAAUCUUCGGCAAUGGGGGCAACCCUGACCGAGCAACGCCGCGUGAGUGAAGAAGGUUUUCGGAUCGUAAAGCUCUGUUGUAAGUCAAGAACGGGUGUGAGAGUGGAAAGUUCACACUGUGACGGUAGCUUACCAGAAAGGGACGGCUAACUACGUGCCAGCAGCCGCGGUAAUACGUAGGUCCCGAGCGUUGUCCGGAUUUAUUGGGCGUAAAGCGAGCGCAGGCGGUUUGAUAAGUCUGAAGUUAAAGGCUGUGGCUCAACCAUAGUUCGCUUUGGAAACUGUCAAACUUGAGUGCAGAAGGGGAGAGUGGAAUUCCAUGUGUAGCGGUGAAAUGCGUAGAUAUAUGGAGGAACACCGGUGGCGAAAGCGGCUCUCUGGUCUGUAACUGACGCUGAGGCUCGAAAGCGUGGGGAGCGAACAGGAUUAGAUACCCUGGUAGUCCACGCCGUAAACGAUGAGUGCUAGGUGUUGGAUCCUUUCCGGGAUUCAGUGCCGCAGCUAACGCAUUAAGCACUCCGCCUGGGGAGUACGACCGCAAGGUUGAAACUCAAAGGAAUUGACGGGGGCCCGCACAAGCGGUGGAGCAUGUGGUUUAAUUCGAAGCAACGCGAAGAACCUUACCAGGUCUUGACAUCCCGAUGCUAUUUCUAGAGAUAGAAAGUUACUUCGGUACAUCGGUGACAGGUGGUGCAUGGUUGUCGUCAGCUCGUGUCGUGAGAUGUUGGGUUAAGUCCCGCAACGAGCGCAACCCCUAUUGUUAGUUGCCAUCAUUCAGUUGGGCACUCUAGCGAGACUGCCGGUAAUAAACCGGAGGAAGGUGGGGAUGACGUCAAAUCAUCAUGCCCCUUAUGACCUGGGCUACACACGUGCUACAAUGGUUGGUACAACGAGUUGCGAGUCGGUGACGGCGAGCUAAUCUCUUAAAGCCAAUCUCAGUUCGGAUUGUAGGCUGCAACUCGCCUACAUGAAGUCGGAAUCGCUAGUAAUCGCGGAUCAGCACGCCGCGGUGAAUACGUUCCCGGGCCUUGUACACACCGCCCGUCACACCACGAGAGUUUGUAACACCCGAAGUC